rnacentral:rRNA from 1 species
GACGAACGCUGGCGGCGUGCCUAAUACAUGCAAGUAGAACGCAGUUGCGAACGGGUGAGUAACGCGUAGGUAACUGCCUCAUAGCGGGGGAUAACUAUUGGAAACGAUAGCUAAUACCCCCUACUUUGAGAUGGACCUGCGUUGUUUUAGCUAGUUGGGGAGGUAAAGGUGCACCAAGGGGACGAGACAUAGCCGAUCUGAGAGGGUGGACGACAAAAAAGGGAAUGAGACACGGCCCAAGCUCCUAAGGGAGGCAGCAGUAGGGAAACUUCGGAAAAGGGCGGAAGUCUGAACGAACAACGCCGCGUUGGUUAAGAAGGUUUUCGGAUCGUAAAGCUCUGUUGUUAGAGAAGCGGUAACUAAACAGAAAGGAACGGCUAACUACGUGCCAGCAGCCGCGGUAAUUC